AAUUUCAAACUGUGUCUAGUAUGUAAAGAGGCCUGUCAAGUAGCUCAACUGUCUGCUGAAUUAAAGCCAGAACUACAAUUUUUUUUUAAACCAAUAAACGAAUCGCUUGAUAAAAUAAAAGAGGCGUUUUCGUUUCAAGAACACAAUAUGAAAAGUUUGAUAAAAACGUUAACGAUUAAAUACGAUCAUGCAAAAAAAGAAAUUUUUCGAACACAUAAAAUAAUAGACGAAUUGAAAAGAGCAAAUCAAAAUCUUAAAGCUUCAAUAGAGAUGCGAACCAAUUACUCCUCAACCAGCACACCAAUGAGUGGAGCGUGUUCUCUUGCCAAUUUUAGCUUCAUGUCACCACUUUCAAAC